rnacentral:rRNA from 1 species
AUACGGAGGAUGCGAGCGUUAUCCGGAUUUAUUGGGUUUAAAGGGAGCGUAGGCUGUGCGUUAAGUCAGGGGGGAAAUGCCGUCGCUCAACGACGGAGCUGCCCUUGAUACUGGCGUGCUGGAGUACGGAUGCCGUUGGAGGAAUGAGUGGUGUAGCGGUGAAAUGCUUAGAUAUCACUCAGAACACCGAUUGCGAAGGCAUCUGACGAAUCCGUCACGGACGCUGAGGCACGAAAGCGUGGGGAUAGAACAGGAUUAGAUACCCUGGUAUUCCACGCCGUAAACGAUGAUGACUAACCGUCGGCGAUAGACAGCCGGUGGCCAAGCGAAAGCGAUAAGUCAUCCACCUGGGGAGUACGUCGGCAACGAUGAAACUCAAAUGAAUUGACGGGG